rnacentral:rRNA from 1 species
GUAGUCGAUGGGAAACGGGUUAAUAUUCCCGUACUUCUUACAAUUGCGAUGGGGGGACGGAGAAGGCUAGGUGGGCCUGGCGACGGUUGUCCAGGUUCAAGUGCGUAGGCUUAAGAGUUAGGUAAAUCCGGCUCUUUCUAAGGCUGAGACACGACGUCGAGCACCUACGGGUGUGAAGUCAUUGAUGCCAUGCUUCCAGGAAAAGCCUCUAAGCUUCAGAUUGUAAGGAAUCGUACCCCAAACCGACACAGGUGGUCGGGUAGAGAAUACCAAGGCGCUUGAG